UCCGGUUUGUCACCGGCAGUCUCCUUAGAGUCCCCAGCUUAACCUGAUGGUAACUAAGAACAAGGGUUGCGCUCGUUACGGGACUUAACCCAACAUUUCACAACACGAGCUGACGACAGCCAUGCAGCACCUGUCUCCACGUUCCUUUCGGCACUCCGAUAUCUCUACCAGAUCCGUGGGAUGUCAAGGGUAGGUAAGGUUCUUCGCGUUGCAUCGAAUUAAACCACAUGCUCCACCGCUUGUGCGGGCCCCCGUCAAUUCAUUUGAGUUUUAACCUUGCGGCCGUACUCCCCAGGCGGAGAACUUAGCGCGUUAGCUACGCCACUAAAACUUCUAAGAGUUCCAACAGCUAGUUCUCAUCGUUUACAGCGUGGACUAC
rnacentral:misc_RNA from 1 species